UAGGGAAUCUUCCCCAAUGGCCGAAAGCCUGCCCGGAGCAACGCCGCGUGAGUGAUGAAGGUCUUCGGAUCGUAAAACUCUGUUGUCAGGGAAGAACAAACGUGUAAGUAACUGGGCACGUAUUGACGGUACCUGACCAGAAAGUCACGGGUAACCACNUG
rnacentral:rRNA from 1 species